GGAAUAUUGCACAAUGGGCGAAAGCCUGAUGCAGCGACGCCGCGUGAGUGAAGAAGUAUUUCGGUAUGUAAAGCUCUAUCAGCAGGGAAGAAAAUGACGGUACCUGACUAAGAAGCCCCGGCUAAACACGUGCCAGCAGCCGCGGUAAUUCGUAGGGGGCAAGCGUUAGCCGGAUUUAAUGGGUGUAAAGGGAGCGUAGACGGCGAAGCAAGUCUGAAGUGAAAACCCAGGGCUCAACCCUGGGACUGCUUGGGAAACUGUUUUGCUAGAGUGUCGGAGAGGUAAGUGGAAUUCCUAGUGUAGCGGUGAAAUGCGUAGAUAUUAGGAGGAACACCAGUGGCGAAGGCGGCUUACUGGACGAUAACUGACGUUGAGGCUCGAAAGCGUGGGGAGCAAACA
rnacentral:rRNA from 1 species